rnacentral:rRNA from 1 species
UACGGGGGGGGCAAGCGUUGUUCGGAAUUACUGGGCGUAAAGGGCGCGUAGGCGGUCUGCUAAGUUGGAUGUGAAAACUCUGGGCUUAACCCAGAGCCUGCAUUCAAAACUGACAGGCUAGAGUUCUGGAGGGGGAAGCGGAAUUCCUGGUGUAGCGGUGAAAUGCGCAGAUAUCAGGAGGAACACCGAUUGCGAAGGCAGCUCGCUGGAACGUUACUGACGCUGAGACGCGAAAGCGUGGGGAGCAAACAGG